rnacentral:rRNA from 1 species
CAAUAGCGUAUCUUAAUGUUGUUGCAGUUAAAAAGCUCGUAGUCGAAUUUCUGGCCGGGAUGAGUCGCAAUCUGCAGACUACAGCCCAGGUCAUCCGCCUGUGAGCAGAUUUCGUGCUUCACCGCUCGGGUCUAGGAGCAGGCACUUUACUUUGAAGAAAUUAGAGUGUUUCAGGCAGGCUUUCGCUUGAAUACACCAGCAUGGAAUAAUGGAAUAGGACUGGAUUCUUUUAUUGGUCAUUGAAUCUAGUAAUGAUUAAUAGGAACAGUUGGGGUCAUUAAUAUUUGUAAGUCAGAGGUGAAAUUCUUCGAUUUUACAAAGAUUAACUAAUGCGAAAGCAUUUGACAAGGAUGUUUUCAUUGAUCAAGAACGAAAGUUAGGGGAUCAAAGACGAUUAGAUACCAU